UUUAACAGCCAGGAUAUGAUUACAACUAUAUAUGAUUUUUGACUAGUAUUUGGAAUUUAAUUAGUUGCCUACUUAACUUUAUGUUUUCUUGCAGAAUCAAGGCACAAAUAGGCAGGCGUGAAGUGCGUUUUUGCUCUGUUAUAGUCAGAUGGUUUUUGGUAUGCAAGAAAUCUAAUAUUUGCUCUAUGUACUAGACAUUUGUUUAGGGUGAUCUUGGAAACCUUUAUUAUCAAAACAUUCCUUUGAAAUAUUCCUCCUACCUUUGACUUGUUUUAUCGAAUCCGUUCUCUUUCUUU
rnacentral:lncRNA from 1 species